GAUGAACGCUGGCGGCGUGCCUAAUACAUGCAAGUCGAGCGAACAGACGAGGAGCUUGCUCCUCUGACGUUAGCGGCGGACGGGUGAGUAACACGUAGAUAACCUACCUAUAAGACUGGGAUAGCUUCGGGAAACCGGAGCUAAUACCGGAUAAUAUAUUGAACCGCAUGGUUCAAUAGUGAAAGACGGUUUUGCUGUCACUUAUAGAUGGAUCCGCGCCGCAUUAGCUAGUUGGUAAGGUAACGGCUUACCAAGGCAACGAUGCGUAGCCGACCUGAGAGGGUGAUCGGCCACACUGGAACUGAGACACGGUCCAGACUCCUACGGGAGGCAGCAGUAGGGAAUCUUCCGCAAUGGGCGAAAGCCUGACGGAGCAACGCCGCGUGAGUGAUGAAGGUCUUCGGAUCGUAAAACUCUGUUAUUAGGGAAGAACAAAUGUGUAAGUAACUAUGCACGUCUUGACGGUACCUAAUCAGAAAGCCACGGCUAACUACGUG
rnacentral:rRNA from 1 species